AUGGAAACCAGACACCUAAUAAUAAAUAUCUUCUGCAUGUGCUCUUUAAUGGGAUACGUUAAUAACAUAACUAAUAGAACAAGGCCUUUUUAACCACUGCCAUAUAUAUUCAUGAACUGCUCUUAUUAAACGGAAAAAUGCAGCGAUGGAAUAGGGACUGGCCAGGAAUCGAAUAAAAUCAAAACAUUACCUGAACCGAGACUCAAACAAGACUGAUGUUGAUCGGGGUUAACUGGAGUCGACCGGAACCGAAGCUCGAGGCCUGAGACCAAACCCGGAACCUAGAAAGGCUGAACUGAACCAGCCGGGCACCACCACUGCCGACGCCAUCGCCGGUGCGGCUUCCCUAAGUUGUCGGAAAACCGUUGACCCGAAUCGUUCCUGAACCUGGAACUGAACCGAGAACAAAUAAGGCUCGAGAACCAAGACUAACCGGACCAUCGCCGCCGUGAGCGGCGCUACUUCUGCCAGAACACCACCAUUGUUGUUGUCGACCGGUACGGCCGCCGCCGUGAGCAGCGCUGCUGCUGCCGCCGCCGUUUCUCUCUCUCAUCUCGCUCUCUCUCUCUCUCUCUUCGAUACGUUGUCGUGUGCCGCCGCCCUAGAGGUGGCUGGCCGAUCAUUUAGAGAGGGGGAAAACAGGUGAAAGGGCCAAGGUCUUGUGAAGUGGAAGAGAUGAGGGUGAGAUGUUUUCUGUGGUGUGCGGCUGGAAGGGAAAGAGGGUGUUAGGGUUUUGUCAAAAUGUAGAAGAAGGAUAGGUUAAGUAUUUUAAAUGGGUAGAGUUUGUAAUUUAGGUUGGUUGGGUAUUUAAGGUGAUUUGUGGGAGAUUGUAAUUAAAAUAACAAUCAAACCACAACUAAAAGUUGCGAUUGGCUGUUUGGCAGUUUCUAGUCUUUAUAUAUAUAUAUACUAGGUUAGAACCCCGUGUAAUACACGGGUUGAAUAAAUGUAAUUUUAUAUAUCAAAUAAUAAAAAAUAUAUUU
rnacentral:lncRNA from 1 species